UGGGGGAUAUUGCACAAUGGGCGAAAGCCUGAUGCAGCGACGCCGCGUGGGGGAUGAAGGCUUUCGGGUUGUAAACCUCUUUCGCUAUCGAACAAGGCCCGCUUAGGGUGGGUUGAGGGUAGGUGGAGAAGAAGCGCCGGCUAACUACGUGCCAGCAGCCGCGGUAAUACGUAGGGCGCGAGCGUUGUCCGGAAUUAUUUGGCGUAAAGGGCUUGUAGGCGGCUUGUUGCGCCUGCUGUGAAAACGCGGGGCUUAACUUCGCGCGUGCAGUGGGUACGGGCCGGCUUGAGUGUGGUAGGGGUGACUGGAAUUCCAGGUGUAGCGGUGGAAUGCGCAGAUAUCUGGAGGAACACCGAUGGCGAAGGCAGGUCACUGGGCCAUUACUGACGCUGAGGAGCGAAAGCAUGGGUAGCGAACAGG
rnacentral:rRNA from 1 species